AGCGAACGCUGGCGGCAGGCCUAACACAUGCAAGUCGAACGGACCCUUCGGGGUUAGUGGCGGACGGGUGAGUAACACGUGGGAACGCGCCUUUUGGUUCGGAAUAGCUCCUGGAAACGGGUGGUAAUGCCGAAUGUGCCCUUUGGGGGAAAGAUUUAUCGCCAUUAGAGCGGCCCGCGUCUGAUUAGCUAGUUGGUGAGGUAAAGGCUCACCAAGGCGACGAUCAGUAGCUGGUCUGAGAGGAUGACCAGCCACAUUGGGAUUGAGACACGGCCAAAACUCCUACGGGAGGCAGCAGUGGGGAAUCUUGCGCAAUGGGCGAAAGCCUGACGCAGCCAUGCCGCGUGAAUGAUGAAGGUCUUAGGGUUGUAAAAUUCUUUCACCGGGGACGAUAAUGACGGUACCCGGAGAAGAAGCCCCGGCUAACUUCGUGCCAGCCGCCGCAGUAAGAC
rnacentral:rRNA from 1 species